rnacentral:rRNA from 1 species
CUUCGGACGUCGACCGGCGCACGGGUUAGUAACGCGUAUCCAACCUUCCCGUUACUGCGGGAUAACCUGCCGAAAGGCAGACUAAUACCGCAUGUUCUUCGAUGACGGCAUCAUAUUCGAAGCAAAGAUCCGUCGGUAACGGAGGGGGAUGCGUCUGAUUAGCUAGUUGGCGGGGCGACGGCCCACCAAGGCGACGAUCAGUAGGGGUUCUGAGAGGAAGGUCCCCCACAUUGGAACUGAGACACGGUCCAAACUCCUACGGGAGGCAGCAGCC